rnacentral:rRNA from 1 species
AUUGAACGCUGGCGGCAGGCCUAACACAUGCAAGUCGAACGGUAACAGGAAGCAGCUUGCUGCUUCGCUGACGAGUGGCGGACGGGUGAGUAAUGUCUGGGAAGCUGCCUGAUGGAGGGGGAUAACUACUGGAAACGGUAGCUAAUACCGCAUAAUGUCGCAAGACCAAAGAGGGGGACCUUCGGGCCUCUUGCCAUCGGAUGUGCCCAGAUGGGAUUAGCUUGUUGGUGGGGUAACGGCUCACCAAGGCGACGAUCCCUAGCUGGUCUGAGAGGAUGACCAGCCACACUGGAACUGAGACACGGUCCAGACUCCUACGGGAGGCAGCAGUGGGGAACAUUGCACAAUGGGCGCAAGCCUGAUGCAGCCAUGCCGCGUGUAUGAAGAAGGCCUUCGGGUUGUAAAGUACUUUCAGCGGGGAGGAAGGGAGUAAAGUUAAUACCUUUGCUCAUUGACGUUACCCGCAGAAGAAGCACCGGCUAACUCCGUG